rnacentral:rRNA from 1 species
AUUCUAGAGCUAAUACAUGCUAAAAACCUCGACUUCGGAAGGGGUGUAUUUAUUAGAUAAAAAACCAAUGCCCUUCGGGGCUCCUUGGUGAUUUAUAAUAACUCAACGAAUCGCAUGGCCUUGCGCCGGCGAUGGUUCAUUCAAAUUUCUGCCCUAUCAACUUUCGAUUGUAGCGUAGUGGGCUACAAUGGUUUCUACGGGUAACGGGGAAUUAGGGUUCGACUCCGGAGAGGGAGCCUGAGAAACGGCUACCACAUCCAAGGAAGGCAGCAGGCGCGCAAAUUACCCAAUCCCGACACGGGGAGGUAGUGACAAUACAUACUGAUGUGGAGCUCUUUAGGGUUUCACAAUCGGAAUGAGUACAAUUUAAAUCCCUUAACGAGGAACAAUUGGAGGGCAAGUCUGGUGCCAGCAGCCGCGGUAAUUCCAGCUCCAAUAGCGUAUAUUAAAGUUGUUGCAGUUAAAAAGCUCGUAGUUGAAAUUUGGGCCUGGCUGACCGGUCCGCCUCACCGCGUGUACUGGUUCGGCCGGGCCUUUCCUUCUGGGGAACCGCAUGGCCUUCAUUGGUCGUGUUGGGGAUCCAGGACUUUUACUUUGAAAAAAUUAGAGUGUUCAAAGCAGGCCUAUGCUCGAAUACAUUAGCAUGGAAUAAUAGAAUAGGACGUGUGGUUCUAUUUUGUUGGUUUCUAGGACCGCCGUAAUGAUUAAUAGGGAUAGUCGGGGGCAUCAGUAUUCAAUUGUCAGAGGUGAAAUUCUUGGAUUUAUGAAAGACUAACUUCUGCGAAAGCAUUUGCCAAGGAUGUUUUCAUUAAUCAAGAACGAAAGUUAGGGGAUCGAAGACGAUCAGAUACCGUCGUAGUCUUAACCAUAAACUAUGCCGACUAGGGAUCGGACGAUGUUUUUUUAUUGACUCGUUCGGCACCUUAUGAGAAAUCAAAGUUUUUGGGUUCCGGGGGGAGUAUGGUCGCAAGGCUGAAACUUAAAGGAAUUGACGGAAGGGCACCACCAGGAGUGGAGCCUGCGGCUUAAUUUGACUCAACACGGGGAAACUCACCAGGUCCAGACAUGGUAAGGAUUGACAGAUUGAGAGCUCUUUCUUGAUUC